UUUAAAUCUUAAUACUGACGACUAUUUGAUCCAGUUUCCUUUACAUACAAGAUUCAUUCAGUCCUACACAAGUAAUGCCCGACCACCUUCACUUGAAACAACCAGCAGCCACAAUCUGCUGGAACUCAACUGGAGCACAAACUCCACCUCUAAAACAAUCUGGUGUCCCAGUUUGUUUACCAUAUUUUUUUGAACUGAUGUUCUUUCUGUCAUUGUACUGUUGUUGAACAAACCACUCCGCUGCCAAGUCUGCACCCUUCAAGUACCUGCAUGAGUACAAUUUUUUUAGAAUAGUACAAGAUAGUAAGGUUGCAAGUUCAAAUUGUCAAUAAAAAUAUUAGGUUUUGAACUGCUCAUGAACAUGCAUCAAUAAAAAAAAUUAGAAGAGCAAAUCCCGAGAGCUUAAACUUCACAUUUAGAAGAAAUCUAGUCUUUUACAAUAGCAUAUAUAGUAAUUUUUAUGCCAAGUAACUUCAAAACCGAACAGGAAUGAAGCUUUUGCAAGAAUAGAAUAGAAUAUAUGCUACUUUCCAUCGAGACAAGGUUUCUCAUGGGAAUAACAACAAACAACUUGAGGGCACUCAGGGCAACAACAAGAACAAGCAAUAAAUUUGAACGAAAUAAGUUAGUACAUCUAGCAAUCUAGGCCAAAUAAAAUCCAUAGACUACAUAUUGACUAAAAUAAGAAUUGAACUGAAAUAAACUUGGAUAUUGUACUGAACUAAAAUAAGAAACUUUGACUAAACUAAAAUGAGAAUUUGAAAUUGGAAUUAACUAAAAAAUUAUUUGCUGAACUGAUCAUGAAAGAACAAGAAUCAAUUCGUUCUGGAAGUAUUUUAAGCAUCAAGUCCACGAGGUUUGAGAAGUUACAUAAUCAUUUUCAGUUUCAAACACAAUCGCAAAUCAGAAUUGCUAACAUAUUUCAAGGUACUAUGCAAAAAAAAACACAUUACAAUAUAUUGAGAUGUCCAACUACAUGUACCAUCUUAAUACCUUCUCAUAAAAAAUGAAUCAAUAGUAAGAAACAAGGUAGUAACAAUCCUAACUCUGCAUAGUUUUGGGGUUUGUAGAAGUCUGAACAUGGUUAUCAUAGUUAAUUACUUACUGUGUAAGCAGGAUGUGUUUACACACCUAUAAUUCAGAAUUGAACUGAACGACCCAUUUUUCUUGUACUGAAGCUUGUUUUCAGAAUU
rnacentral:lncRNA from 1 species